rnacentral:rRNA from 1 species
CCUACGGGCGGCAGCAGUGGGGAAUAUUGGGCAAUGGGCGCAAGCCUGACCCAGCAACGCCGCGUGAAGGAAGAAGGCUUUCGGGUUGUAAACUUCUUUUCUCAGGGACGAAGCAAGUGACGGUACCUGAGGAAUAAGCCACGGCUAACUACGUGCCAGCAGCCGCGGUAAUACGUAGGUGGCAAGCGUUAUCCGGAUUUACUGGGUGUAAAGGGCGUGUAGGCGGGAAAGCAAGUCAGAUGUGAAAACCAUGGGCUCAACCUGUGGCCUGCAUUUGAAACUGUGUUUCUUGAGUGCUGGAGAGGCAAUCGGAAUUCCGUGUGUAGCGGUGAAAUGCGUAGAUAUACGGAGGAACACCAGUGGCGAAGGCGGAUUGCUGGACAGUAACUGACGCUGAGGCGCGAAAGCGUGGGGAGCAAACAGGAUUAGAUACCCGGGUAGUC